UAUUUACAUUACACACAUGAUGAUAUCAUGAUUUUGUUAGGUCCAUUGUACGUACUUGCUAGUGAUUAAAGUUGUUUAGGUGAUCGGACCAUGUGGUUUCCAAAGGGACUUGUCUUUUGAACUUGGGUGAGCACAACCUGAGCUGCUUCAAAAUGAAGGGCUUUGCUUCAUUAAUUAAAAACAACCACCCCAGAUCCUCCCAGUCCUCGCCGCUAGUC
rnacentral:lncRNA from 1 species